rnacentral:rRNA from 1 species
AAUUCGCCUUCAUGAAGCUGGAAUUGCUAGUAAUGGCAGGUCAGCAUACUGCCGUGAAUAGUUCCCGGGGCCUUGUACACACCGCCCGUCACACCAUGAGAGUUGGAAAUACCUGAAGCCUGUGAGCUAACUUAAAGAGGCAGCAGUCGAAGGUAGAGCCAAUGAUUGGGGUGAAGUCGUAACAAGGUAAC